rnacentral:rRNA from 1 species
AUUGAACGCUGGCGGCAGGCCUAACACAUGCAAGUCGAGCGGUAGAGAGAAGCUUGCUUCUCUUGAGAGCGGCGGACGGGUGAGUAAUGCCUAGGAAUCUGCCUGGUAGUGGGGGAUAACGUUCGGAAACGGACGCUAAUACCGCAUACGUCCUACGGGAGAAAGCAGGGGACCUUCGGGCCUUGCGCUAUCAGAUGAGCCUAGGUCGGAUUAGCUAGUUGGUGAGGUAAUGGCUCACCAAGGCGACGAUCCGUAACUGGUCUGAGAGGAUGAUCAGUCACACUGGAACUGAGACACGGUCCAGACUCCUACGGGAGGCAGCAGUGGGGAAUAUUGGACAUUGGGCGAAAGCCUGAUCCAGCCAUGCCGCGUGUGUGAAGAAGGUCUUCGGAUUGUAAAGCACUUUAAGUUGGGAGGAAGGGUUGCAGACUCUUACCCUUCAAUUUUUGAUGUUUCUGCCGCUCUAAGCACCGGCUU